rnacentral:rRNA from 1 species
UACGGAGGGGACUAGCGUUGUUCGGAAUUACUGGGCGUAAAGCGCACGUAGGCGGAUUGUUUAGUCAGGGGUGAAAUCCCGAGGCUCAACCUCGGAACUGCCUUUGAUACUGGCAAUCUCGAGUCCGGAAGAGGUGAGUGGAAUUCCUAGUGUAGAGGUGAAAUUCGUAGAUAUUAGGAAGAACACCAGUGGCGAAGGCGGCUCACUGGUCCGGUACUGACGCUGAGGUGCGAAAGCGUGGGGAGCAACCAGG